rnacentral:rRNA from 1 species
AUUGAACGCUGGCGGCAUGCCUUACACAUGCAAGUCGAACGGCAGCACGGGAGCAAUCCUGGUGGCGAGUGGCGAACGGGUGAGUAAUAUAUCGGAACGUGCCCAGUCGUGGGGGAUAACGUAGCGAAAGCUACGCUAAUACCGCAUACGAUCUAUGGAUGAAAGCGGGGGAUCGCAAGACCUCGCGCGAUUGGAGCGGCCGAUAUCAGAUUAGGUAGUUGGUGAGGUAAAGGCUCACCAAGCCGACGAUCUGUAGCUGGUCUGAGAGGACGACCAGCCACACUGGGACUGAGACACGGGCCCCAGACUCCUACGGGAGGCAGCAGUGGGGAAUUUUUGGACAAUGGGCGCAAGCCUGAUCCAGCAAUGCCGCGUGCAGGAUGAAGGCCUCGG